ACCCAGGAUCACUUCCGAAACCACUUGGCCUUCAGCCCCUGCCUCGGCCAGAGGUUUCAUUUUUAACUGAAUAUUUACGAAAGCUGAAAGCGUGCGAGGGGGGUGGGGUGGAAAUAGCGGCUGCUUCUUUUCCAAGGAUUUAUUUAAUGGGGAUGUGUUCAAGGCAAGACCGAAUUCAGAAGGAUAUCGACGUCGUGAUCCAGAAGUCCAGAGCUGAGGACUGCCUGUUUGCAGGGCCCGCCUGGCAGGACGACUGAGCAAGUUCUUGGAAAACCAGAGAUAUUAGAGCGGUGAAUCGCGCUGGUCACGUUGGACACCUGCGCGUUAGGAGAUUCUGGAGCCAGAGGGAGAGACCCCAGAAACGCCCCGGUCGGCGACCCAGCCCGAGACGCCUGGGGUCCCAAGGGAAGCUGAACGCCCGCAGAAUGGGGAAAUGGAGAGAGAACCUGAAAGAGCCCCAAACUCGAGGACCUAUUGCUCCCCAAGAAUAACAUCUUCCAGAACUAGACAGAAAACUAGGCGUCUGGGAACCCUGAAAUCCUUGGAGGAGUAGAUCAUCAUGACCCUCUGUGUUCCUUUUGGCAAAUGACUUGCUUCCAUUGUUUGUUUGUUCAAUUGUCUGUUUGUUAAAUAAAUAAAACCCUUUUUAUGUAUCUUUAAAAUUACAUUGGUUCUAUUAUUUUAUGAUUACAAACGAUGCUGCAGUCAUCAUUCUUGUACACUUCUCAUUGGCCACUGGUGUAUUUCUAUAGGGUGGAGGCCUGGAGAGCAGUUGUUCCAGCAUAGUGUUUACAUAGCUUUUAUUUAAUUCCGUUUUCUUUCCUUUGUUGCUUUAUUAGCUAUAACCCUUCUCUUAUUUCAGUGGCAGCUUUAGGGUUUCUGGGAUACAUCUUUAAUUUAUCACAUUCUGCUUUCAAGUGUAAUUAUACCUCCCUUUCUGGCCUUUAUCCUAGUGUUACGUAUUUUUACUUUAUGCAUUAUAAGUUUUGUGAUUAUCAUUACCUUCAUUUAUUAUGUCAAAUAUUUUUAAAAAGAUUUAAAUUAUAAGAAAAUGUGUAGUACAUGCUUUCUAAAUGCCAUUUCCAAUAUUUGUUUUUGUAUAGGUCCAGAUUUUUAUCUGGGAUCCUUUUGCUUCUGCCUGGAGGACUCUUAAGAUUUCUUGUAGCGUGGGUUGGUGAAUUCUUUUAGUUUUUGUAUGUUUUUCAAUGUCCUUAUUUCACUCACAGUUUUGAAAUUUUAUUUUUGCAUAGAAUUCUAGGUUAAUUUUUUUCUCUAGUACUUUAAAAAUGUUGCCAUUUAUGAAGCAUUGCCAUUUAAAGUAUCAUCUUUCAUGUGCUUGUGAAAAUGGCAUAAAGCCGGUUUCUUGUGCUGGUUAUGUAAUUUUCAGAAUGUGUAUUUAAAUUUAAAAUAUUAAAUUUUCCUAAAAAACUAAAAAUAUUAAUCAUGAAUGUCCUAGAUUCAUCUUAAAUUCCACCAACAGUGCACUUAAAAUGUGCCCAACCUGAGGGUCAAACCUACCUGCUGACAUGUAAUUUGUGUUUGUGAGACAUUCUCAACAGCAUUUGCUUUCCCCAGCUGAGUGAUCUUCCUCACAUCUGAAUGUCUUCAGUGCAAAAGGAAAUGUUUUUCUUCGCAAAAAUACUUUCAAAUACUCUUACUUCAAGGAAGUGCAUUAAAAACAAACUUCUCAUUUGCAUCCCUGGAAUUCAAAGCCCUAAUCAAGUGCUUCAGGAUCAAGAGCUAAACAGGGGAGGACAAAGCGUGGCUUCUUCACUAGGAGUCAAGCCAAAGUCAACUGGUUUGAUCGCCAACGUAGAUCGGAACUCGGUUCACCAGCGACCUGAGGACCCGGCCCAGAAGAGGGAGUGUCUCUUCAUGGUGCCUUCAGAUAGAAAAUCUCCUAGGAUUUCUUUCUUUCCCUUUGAUCUACUUCCAACUCUCCCUUUCUAUUUCUUCAAGACCUUUUUCGGAUCCCUACUGCGAAGGACCUAAGGGGCCGGUGCCCUUCCCCACUGGUCCCUCCCUGCCUGGUGUCUUAGGAGCCCAAGCUCACCUGGAACAUUACUGCCCGCCGGAGACAGCGAGAGGACCAAGGAGCGCGGCGGUGCGGUGGGAACCACAGCGUCACCGCUCACCUGCGCCUCGUGGGCUCCUAGAAAAUUGAAUAAAUGCCCCCUGAAGCUUCUCUGCAGGUCACACGGAAGAGGAGGGUGGCUGCCGACACGCGGGAGAAGCUUCAAGAAGCGUCGGGAGGACCUACCUGGUCCUGCCCCUGGGCCUUGAAGACAGGCCUGGCCAGGCUGAUUUGGUCCGGUAGUCUCAAAGAAAAUGUUCAAGGGUGGCCCAAACCUCCACCCCAAGAUUAAGGCUCUUAAAUGUCUGACGGUUUUGAGACUCGUCAGUAGAAUCAAUCCCGCCUGUAUCAGGAGACUCCUUUGCCAAAAUUCAAAGACCAAGAAAGAGAAAGAUUGGGCAGGUUAAAGUCUGUAAUUAACCAAACAGGAGACAGAAUUUUUCUGAGAAAUUGUAUGUGUGCUGUGAGAAAAAGACUAGCCUCAAGGAGAAUCUGUUCUUUUGGCUUAAUUGUAGGAAAGAAUGGAAUUGCCACCAACAAUGGUACGUUGAAACGGCAGGUGCAUCAGGCUGUAGAUGUGAAGGAAUUAAAAAUAUUUUACCCCAAAAUACAUUUCUUUGACAUAUUUUGAGAUGUCUGUUCAGAAAGCCAGCUGCAGAAGUAGCCCUGCAAAGUUGUCUUUCGUUGGGGAGAUUUGCAUCUGUAGGGAAUCUGCAUUGAUGCAGCCAAGUCUUUCCUUGCCCAGAUCUAGGAAAGAUUAACUGAGAGUCUGACAGCUGUAAAGGUCUGAAAGAAACUUUCAGAGCUUAUUCUUUCUGAGAGCUGCUGCCUGUAAGGUUUCAUUUACAUAUUAAGAUCACCUUUGCUAGCCAGGCCUCCUCUUCUCUCCCUCCCAUAACCUGUCUUGCCCACAAUAAAUGGAUAUACCUCUGACUCUAA
rnacentral:lncRNA from 1 species